GGCCCUUAGGUUGGGUAUAAACCCGGGAAACUGGGUAUAAUACCCGAUAGGUCUCGAUUGCUGGAAUGCAUCGAGAUUUAAAGCUCCGGCGCCUAAGGAUGGGUCUGCGGCCUAUCAGGUAGUAGUGGGUGUAGCGUACCUACUAGCCUACGACGGGUACGGGUUGUGAGAGCAAGAGCCCGGAGAUGGAUUCUGAGACACGAAUCCAGGCCCUACGGGGUGCAGCAGGCGCGAAAACUUUACAAUGCUGGCAACAGCGAUAAGGGAACCUCGAGUGCCAGGUUACAAAUCUGGCUGUCGAGAUGCCUAAAAAGCAUUACAUAGCAAGGGCCGGGCAAGACCGGUGCCAGCCGCCGCGGUAACACCGGCGGCUCGAGUGGUAACCGUUAUUAUUGGGUCUAAAGGGUCUGUAGCCGGCCGGAUAAGUCUCUUGAGAAAUCUGGCAGCUUAACUGUCAGGCUUUCAGGAGAUACUGUCUGGCUCGAGGCCGGGAGAGGUGAGAGGUACUUCAGGGGUAGGGGUGAAAUCUUGUAAUCCUUGAAGGACCACCAGUGGCGAAGGCGUCUCACCAGAACGGACCUGACGGCAAGGGACGAAAGCUAGGGGCACGAACCGGAUUAGAUACCCGGGUAGUCCUAGCCGUAAACGAUACUCGCUAGGUGUCGGCCACGGUGCGACCGUUGUCGGUGCCGUAGGGAAGCCGUGAAGCGAGCCACCUGGGAAGUACGGCCGCAAGGCUGAAACUUAAA
rnacentral:rRNA from 1 species